UUGGUUUUGUGGUCAUCGCGCGGUUACCCUGUGGUGUCACAAAUCAGCCGGCCAGUAAUCCAGCCGCGCAACUCUCAGGCCCCUCUCGGUCUUACGCUUUUAUGUGUUUUUAGUUCAUUGUUCGUAUGUUCACAGAAAAAAAGGCAGUAUUAAAUGAGAAAAUAUGCGGAUCCAAAUGGACUGAAGUCAUUUAGGAACCGUUUUGUCUGAAGUACGAGUCGAUAGUAAAAUCUACCCUAGUAUUCGUGAAUCCCGCCCGUCGCAACAGCUAAAAAGAGGACUAUAGAGGAGGACUGUGGAGGAUCUACACUACCAUUGUAUAUUCAUUCACGCCUAAAUUUAUGUAAGGAGAUCCUGAGAAGAAAGGGCCUUGAUGUUUGUUUUCAGCUAUAAAAAUCAUUCGCUUGUGUCGACGAGUUCCUUGCUAGCAGAAAUUCGACAACUUCACAGUUUACAACAAAAGCGAACAACACAACAAAAAGCGAAAAAAAAACUGCCAAGACUAAAACACCGUACCAGCUUUAGUUUGAUGUCAAGAUGCCAUAUCAAAGUCAUAUAUCCUUGUAUUGGUGUAAAUACGUAAAUACUUACAAGUUCUAUAAAUUCAGGCGUAUAUUCCUUACGGUAAGUAAGAAUUUAACGACAGAAUACGUAGUAGUCUAGUUACUGUAUCAAUGCCACUUAGCUUGUUGGAUUUAUACAUUUGUUUCUAGAGUUUGCUUUGAGAAUUCGUGGUCUAAUCAAACAUGUUGAGCAUCACAUCCUUUGAUAUUCUCCGUUCUCUCUAUACUUUAUUGAUUGCGUUGAGAUAUUUAAUGAAGGCUGACAAAUAUCAUCCUGUCAUAUAUUGCUAGAGAAGACCUUUCUUGUCUUUAUAUUCUGUGUAUUUAGUCUUUUCAAAGAUACAGCAAUAUUUUUUUCAACAUUUCAUAACUUUUAAGUUAAAACUUUAACUUUACAAUAACAAAAGAAUUUUCUCUUCCAAAAUAAAAAAAACAAAAUGCAAUCCUUUUUGCCUAUAUUGUUUUUGCUUUUAUAUUGUCUGCAUCUUGCAUACUUCCUAAUGUGUUUAUUUAUUUUUAUUCAAAUAGUUGCGGAAAUUUAGUAAGGUUAUAAAUGGCAUGAUGAAAAUAUUGUUUUGAAA